rnacentral:rRNA from 1 species
UACGGGGGGAGCAAGCGUUGUUCGGAUUUACUGGGCGUAAAGGGCGCGUAGGCGGCCAGCACAAGUCAGUUGUGAAAUCUCCGAGCUUAACUCGGAACGGUCAACUGAUACUGUGCGGCUAGAGUGCGGAAGGGGCAACUGGAAUUCUUGGUGUAGCGGUGAAAUGCGUAGAUAUCAAGAGGAACACCUGCGGCGAAGGCGGGUUGCUGGGCCGACACUGACGCUCAUGCACGAAAGCGUGGGGAGCAAACAGG